AUUGGGGCUGGGUAUGGAGUUGAUCCACACUGGGACUGGGGCUUUGCUAUAAUGUUACGUUUGCUGUUUUUUCUUCACUUUCCUUUGUGGUGGCCUCCAAUAUAGGUAACUCCAUCUUCUCCAUGGUGAAGACAGAUGAAAAGAAUUCAUCUAGUGCUGCCGUAUAUCUUCCUAACUGGUUUGUCAGCCUUAAGCAAGCAAGCAGACAGCAUUUUUAGCUCUCUUGAUCCUGGAAGAAGACAACAUCCCUUGAAAAUAUGAAGCCUCGAGGGUCCAAAUGAGAAAACAGAUGAAAAAACCUCCAAAUACUUUUGGUUGUCUUUCUCUAAGGAGGGAGUAAGUGAAUCACCCGUGAAGUCUAGGAGAGAGUGCCCAAGAGUGGGACCAGGCGCACUGGAGUCCGGAAGAGAUUUCUGCUGCUGAUCAGAUGGGAGACCACUCUCGUGGAUGGAUCACGCAUCCCUCAGAACUGGAUCUUCUUCAAAGCCGGGCAAAAUGAAGGAAAGUGAAGUUGUUGACCUCUGCUUGCUUUGGAUCUGGCCUGUAGUGAGAGCUAUACCCACACCAAGCUUCAGAUUUCAAGCAAUUUGAUGUGGCCUUUUACAGAGAAAAAAAUGGUUGGAACUUUUAUUACAGCAGAGACCAAAUCUGAGAAGUUGCAGCCCAAUUUUGGAAAGUUCUCAGGAUGUGCAAACAGGAGCUCCUGAUGGGAAGUUGCUGUUCAACACACUUUGUUGUCGUGAGUGCUUCUGGGAAGCCACUACAAACCAGGCAAGAGAGCCGCGGAAGUGCCGUUCCUUAUGUUUCAGUGGCCGUUUUCUAAUCCGGCGGUCUGAUGUGGUAGCCGCCCUUAGGGAUUUAAAAUGAGUCCAGCUUGAAUGCUCCCUUCGUUUCACAUGGAUCAGGUUGGGUGAUCAGAGGAGCUCUCGCAACACGCACCAGGAUCCAGGAGUCCUAUGUUCACCCUAUCCAAAGGAUCAGGUUGACUUUCACCCUGGAAAAAAUGUCUGGUCUGCUCUAGUCAUUCAGGAUUCCAGAUAUGUCUGUUUUUUUCUGCUCUUAGUUCAAGAUACCAAGAAGGAAGCUAUUAGCAGAAAGACAUUCUGAGCAUAACCUGAAAAUGAAGUCCUUACAGAUGUCCCCACUUUGGAUGUAAAACAGUGAAUCCACUAAUAUCACUAACAAGUUUUGAAAAUUCAGACCAGAGCGUUUUGCUGAGCAUCUGAAAAGACUUUCCUUCCAAGAACAAGUACUGUCAGUGAUGCUUUGGGUAACCGCUACAAGGAUUACGCACGUGAUAUUUGUUAGAUGAUGGUGUGUAUCUAUUUAGUUUACAAAGUGGUGUUUUUUGGCAUAAAAACGCAUGCGUCAUUACAGCUGUAAAGCCUCGCAAAACCUCAGGGUUACAGUUCUCAACAGCAACGUUUUUGGCGUUCGAAAGGAUGGGUCAGAACUGCAAAGUGUCCCAAGAUCCAAAAUUUUCACCACAGAUGAGUGGGUUGUGCUCUAGAUAUUUUGCUUGGCCCCGCUUGUGAAACAUAGGUUCACAGAUGCAGAGCCCUGUAUCCCAGCACUGCGGAGGACAGGGGUUUGUAAAGAAAUGAUACUGGCUCGUGGGCGUCUGCAGGGUCUUGUUGGAAGGGUCAGGGCUUUCCGCCUUCCCCUUUCUGACUACUCCUGAUGGAGACUCAUUGUCGAAGUCCUCACUUUUGGUGGGAGCGAGGCCGAAGGGGGCAUAUGGUGCAGAGGCAGCAGAAGAAGGACUGUCGGAGUGGCCCCUAGAUUUAGCAGGCCAUCAAGAUCGCAGCACAUCUACGUGCAGCUUCUCAGGAUGCCCAGAUCAGGAGACAAAGGAAAGUGAGUAAAUUUGGAUGACUCACCGAGGUGGGACAGGAUGGAGAGGCUAAUCCCUGUCAGCUCCUAAAGAGUACAAAGAGGCACAUCCAAAACAAGCACAUCAUCACCAAGCUUGGAAGAAUCCAGGAGACGUGAGUAGACCUCGAUAGCUGGCGUCUCUCAUCCUCCGCGUCCCUGCGAGGAAUCCUGGGCUGGCCACCUGGAGACGAGCGUCCUGGUGCCUGCUGCUGGACCGGCUGCCUGCACACAUCUCGAUGCCUACGAACUCCAAGGCCUCCCGGGCUUUGCGGUCAAAGCUGCGUUGGACUCUUCUGCAGGGGAGGAAAGGGAAGUAGUAAGGGUGUCCCCAAACACACCAAAGACUUGGGUGACUGAGGCAGAGCCUUCUGGAAACAAUACUGCUGGGUUCCCACAGAAGUAGCAAGAGGGCAAAAGAAAAAUCCCUUUUGGCUCCCUCACAGCAGCUUUAUACCCUUUUUUGUUUGUUUUUUCUGAAUGGGAGGUUGGGCCUGAACACCCUCCUCAAAGUGCCUUUGACAUUUGGAGACCUUUGAGCCUAGAUCCACAGGGACAGGUCACAGCUCUGCCCAGCCCUCCUGUUUCUCCCUCGUGACUCUUGCAAGACUGGAGGAGAGAGAAAGUAUGGCGUUAGAAAGCAGAAGCUAAUUCCUUCCUUCACCAGAUGCUUCCCAUGUGGCGAAGUCAUUCAGCUUCUCUUUCUCGUUUGUACCUCUGUUCCCUGCCUGUAAAAGCAGCAGGAGCCAUGUGGGGCUCGUAUAUUAGCAACGUGGGAUGUGCAGCUAUUUCAUAAAUGAUGGAUCUGUAGAAAUACCCAGAAAAAAGGAAGCCAGAAUUUUCCAGAAAUGACAGGCUUUGCCAUGGACUUCAAGUCCAAUAUUGUUUUACAAGCAAACAAGCCAUUGCUGUCCAAAUGCUCUCCUCAUACCAGCAGAAAUGAGGUCUCAGAGAAAAACUUGUUUUUGCAAGCCUUGUAUUUUGAUACCUUCAGUUCAUGAAACGAACCAGAAAAAGCACCCAGUGAUAGUUAAUUUUAAGAAGCGCAUGAACAUAGAGUUAACUGGCCUUGUCUGCAGUGGUCAAGUGCAUUUGUCUUGCAAUUUUGCUUGAGCUAAGGGACAGCCAAUUUGCUUUGCUCUGCACCUCGCGUGCUGGGGUUGUUCUCUCUGACAGAGCCUCAAAGUGCUCUUAGGAGGCCAGGGCUGUUAAUAAUAAAUGGUAUUCUUCCUCAAGCCUCGUUCUGUAAUUCCCAGGAAGCCAGCAGUCCCUUCUACCCCAGCUUGGAUGCUGUUACACAUCUCAGUAUGAAAUACAGCCACAUUCCUUAGCUCUAAUUCUUUACAGUCACGUGGAAAGGAUGCCGAGUGAGAUUGCACAACUAAUUUCAAAGCUGGCAAGUACAACUUGAUGGUGCGAGACACAGCUCUAUCUCCACAUCGGGAAAGGGAUGGGGAGAUGGUAAUGUUGUACAGCGCACCUGUGCAGCAGCUCUUUGCCAAGGUUUGCCAGAGCCCUCGUUUCAGUGAGAAAUGUCAGUUUGUGCUUUUCAUCAGCAAAUUCAAUUUCUGUUAAUUUUUCUAAAUGAAAGUGUUUUGAAAAAUGUUUUUUAAAAUAUCACAAGUUCUCACACCAACAUUUUCUGAAAGUCAAAUUCCUGUUCCCUUAUUUGGAGCAAUGUUGUCUGUAUUAUUUAAGUACAAAUAAUAAUGCAAGUAACUCUGCAGUAAGUUUUUAGGUAGCCCGAACUGCAGUAAAGUAUCCAGUGACAUGAGCCAUGUCUCCCAUUUUCUUUUUCUUUAGGUAGUUGACUCACAGAUGCUUUGAUACUUCAGCCUUUCAUCCAGAUGACGGGCAGAAAAAAAUCCAAAGUUUGAAGAAUUUUUGUUUGCCAGGCCAUUCUGCUCAUUUAUAGAGUGAAGAAUGGUACAGAACUGAUUGCUGGAUGUGAAGUCAAAGAAAAGCACAAUUUCUAUUCAUGUGAGUUCCAAAUCAAGUAAAAAGUGAUGGAGUCUCUAACUUUUGAUAAGUUCCCGUCCCCAUAUCUUGAUAUGACCAGAGCUGGAUGUUUUUCUGGAAGAUUGAGCAAAGCUCCUGGGCUCAGUGCUGGGCUAAUUGGCUGCAAUUGAAUGGCUUUGGAAUAUAGGAAGUCGUACCAGAUGUUCUCAUGGUUUCUUCUGGCCUUAAACCCUGUGAAUCUAUGAAUGAGUUUCUGAAUCUGUGAAAUCCCAAGUCCUAAGAAUACAAACAUAUGAGUAGAGUUAUAUUUCUGGCCUCCAGAUCAGAAGAAAGAUAUUAAAUGUGCAUUGUUGCGAUAAAUCAAAGAAGCAGCUAAAUCUGAGCAGUAAUAAAAGUUGACUGCAGAUCUUUGUGCAGAAAUUGGUCAUAUGUCAUGUCAGGACAAGGUUCAGGGAAGUGAUUUCUCAACAACUGAAAUGACUGCUUUUUGGAACAGCUCCUUCCAAGCCCUGUGGUGGAGAUCCUGCUCCGGACUUGGUCCUCAGUACCACACAGGAGCUCCUUUGACAAGGGAUGAUCAGUGCCUCACCGAACACUGUUGACCACAAAGUAGUUAAGAUGGGCAUCCCUGCAUGAAAACAAGCAGUGCGACAUUCAAGUUUAGAAAAAGGGGUUUUGUUUUGCUGGGUUUCUUUAAGGGGAAGCUCAUCAAAACUGAGGAAAUUAAAAUCUGUAGUCAGCAAGAAAGCUACAGAGCCAUGGUCUAAGCACAGUCACACCAAGCGUGUGUCCACCCACUCCCCUCCUCUCCUGCUUACCCCUGAAAAAAGGAAGAAGAAGAACAACCAAAGGAAUGAAGAAAUUAGGAUGCUUUCCUAUCACUUAAUGGCAUUUUUAAGUAACCUGAUUUGUUUCAGCAAGAAGCCUUGAACGUGCUGAAGGGAUAAAGCCGCAGAAUCGAAUUCAGGAGUCCCACUGCUCGGACAAUUUGCUGCUGAGCCCUGAGCAUCUUUGUUUCCCUCCCUCGCUGCCUCCUUCAGCCUCGUCUCCACAUCGGGAAGUCAUCGGGGCAGGCAGGAGUCAUUUCGGACCAUAUGCACCUCAUCAGCGCAACGCGUCGUGAUUUAGUGGGAGCCUGUCAGCGCUCCUGUGGGACGUGCCAUCAGCCACCGCGGUGCCAGACUCCCGCCUCCGCGCUGGAGGGUGUCAGAGCCUGGCUCGAGGAGGAGGUUUCGAUGGCCACUUUAACGCUGCUCGGGAAACCAAGCAAACCUCCCCCAGUAAAUGGAAACCUCGCCUAAAUGAAACGGACAGAAAAAAGCAUACGCUCACUAAAUUCUCCAGCGAAGCAUCCUUAUUAUAUAAUGCCGAGCUACACGCACCAUGUGAAGUACUGCAUUUCAUUUGCAGCAGGCCCGUUGAUAUGCUAGCGUCACCACCAAUGUCACGCAACGCUGGGCGAAGUAACAAGUAUGGCAAUAUCACCAAGCAAUACAUAAUGCCAAUGACAGUGGAACUAAUGCAGAGGCGAUCAUUCUUACAUUAUUCAACAUUUCCAAUUGCUUUCUGUUUUAAAUGACUAUAUGAUGUAAUAAUAUAUAAAUACUGUAAGGGAGCGUUUAUUUAUAGCCAUCCUCAGUGUUACCGGUGAAAGUAUUAAUGCAUUUUUCCCACGCUAUGCUCAUUGACUGCAGUGGAGCAAUCCAUUUUCAAGGGGCUGUGUCAAAAGAGUGUUUAAGCCAUUCCUCAGUCUCGGAAACAGGUGAAUGGUUAAUGUAGCAGCUUUUAAUACAGGAAUCAAAAACAGUGAGGGUGAAGAGAGGACAUGCCUCGAAUGGAAAAAGAGGGUUAAAGCCUCACAAAGCUUUAAAGCCUUACAAAGCCAGCAACUUCUGUUCAGCCUGGAGACUCCUUGGAGCAGUAGGAACUUGCGAUGCCAAGCUCCUGGUUAAGCUGUCGGAGUUGUAUGUGUCAGUGAGGGGGAAGCAAUCCACCUUGGGGCUGGGUCAAAUACAGGAGCAAAACUAUAGCAAAGGCUGGUUCUGGUCUCAGAAAUCUGGAGUGAGGCCAUUUGCAUGGUCAAGCUUUCUGACACCGUUGGCCUGGAUGGAACUGGCUUUCCUUUAUGAGCCAUCCUUGAGCUUCGUGAGCCAUCCUUGAGCUGCCCAUGGCAUCCUGAUGAUUCUUCUCUUCACUGAGGACCAGCUGGAGCUGCCCCCCUCCCAAGUCCCUGCUAUCCCUGCAGCUUUAUGCUGGCCCGGAAAGAGCUGCUUUUCAGAAAUUCAGCUGGUACCUGUAUUUCCCCCUUUUGGGGUAUAAGCUUUCCCUGCAUUUGCAUUUACUCACCCAUGCAGUCAUCACACUCUCCAUAUCAUGGCUCUCCAUUAAUGGCUCUUCAAGCAGGGACACCAUGGGGAGGCUCGUCAGGAAAAUGUCAGAACGUCUCCACCCGGUUUAGGGCUGCCCCAUCCAUCUCUCUUACAAUUUACCUCUCCGAGAGCGUCCAAAUCCCGUGCAUCCGUGGGGGUUGUAGCAUGAGGUGGAGCAGGAGAUGGGGCAUCCCCUUUCUGCUCAGACGUGACAGCGGGAGUGGAGGCACCGUCUUGCCCAGCAUUGGCAUGCAGCGAGGAAGCGAAGGAACCUGCCUGUUUCACAACAACUGGAGCUGCACUGUAAACAGCCUUCAUCACACACGGAGGUCCACUUAGAGCAGGGCGAACACCAGAAAAAUAGUAUUUACAAGUACUCCCUCAAAUAAAAACCAUGAGUUUGCUUUGGCAGCAGCACUCAUCCUCCUAAUGAUUGCUUCUGGCAAAUGAUUAGGCAGGUACAACAAUAUUUACUGAAAUAUUCAUGGGACGGGGACGUGUUGCAGAUACGUGUGUAAAUACGAGCUGACUGAUGAGCACUUGUGCAAAACUGUAUUCGUGAGAGUGUUGCGGAGAGGGGUUUGCAUAACUGUUUUGAAGGCUGGUUGUGGGUUUGGGACUCCUUGAAUCAAAGCAGAGAAACUCCGCCACGCGUUGGAGGUAAACAGUGGCACACACACGAGCUCACAAAGAGAGCACAAAUGAAAAAAAAACGGGCAAAUAACAAAUACUUGAAUGGCAGUCAGGCUGCGUAGCUUACAAGCAACCCAAAGACUGCGAAACGGCCGCAGAAACCAUUCACGUAAUAACUGAAUGUCAAGCAGAUUUGCAGAGCUCCUGCAGCAUUUGCAAAUAGAGGCCCAAGUUCAGCGCAAUUCACUUGGAGCGAUUCAUAUGAUCAGAAUUAGGCAAGUGUGUAAAUAUCUGCCUGAAACGAGGCCAGGCGAGGGGACUGCAGUUGCCUGCUUAAUUGAGUUUUGUGCGUAGUUGUCCAGCUCUGUUUCCUCAGGGAUCGAAGCAUGAGGCAGAUGAUUGACUUGUACUGAAAGAAUUAAGGAUCGGUAUUGCGUGAAGAGGAACGGCAGCCGGCGAGCUGGAUUUUCUGAGAGGCCAGUGUUUACAGUUAAAAAUACCACUUGGCAGAAGUACAAUCAGGAGUGAGGAACACGUACCACAAACAAAACCAUUAAGACUAUUUAAAAACUUUUUGCAAAAGACAAUCAAGUGUUACGGGACUAAUUUCCCACUUGGUCACCAUGGUCUUAUGUCAACAUUAACGCCAUUGACUUGAGCCGAGCCCUGCAGGCGCAAAACUGGUGUGAUGGGGUGGAAAACUGGCCCGGUUUAUGAUUCUGUAUAUCGUAUUAUUUAAAAGACAAAGAACCUAAUCCCAGGCGUGUUUAAGUACCCUGAAGUCUCCGAAUCCAGUCCUUUUCCCACUGAAAUCAAAGGCAGAGCUUCUGCGUACUGCGAUGGGCUAAAAUCAGGUAUCCAUUAGCUGUCGCUGGGAAGGGAUGGCCACCAGCAAUGUGGCCAUUCAGCUGGAUAAGUGGUUUAUAAUGGGAUGAGCACUUUGGGAGAGGGAGAGAUGACUGGGGAGGAAGCCGUGUCUUUCUCACCGCACGUCAUUUCCAAGCCACUAUUAGUUUCUUAUUUAUCUAAUUACUUAAUGUUUCCCUAUUCUUAGAACAAUAUUUAAAUUAUUCCUGGCAGACUGGUAGCUGUUUUAGAAGCACCUAAACCAGUCCAUGUAAAUCUUUUUUGUGUUUAUGCAUAUGUAUAUAUAUAGAGAGAGUUGUGUAUAAAGAAAAAGAUAGAAGGUGAUUUUUACCUGGCUGAGCAUUUUUUUUUUCAUUUUUAGCCCUUUUAGAAGAGCAGUUGUAUUAGAGACGUUGCGUUGGCUGCCAGGAUGAGUGAAACAGUUUGGGAGAAGAAAAAGUUUGUGAAUAUUUCAGAGUAAUUACUAACAGUUAGUCCCAGAACCAGAAAAAAAAAAGGAAAGAAAAAGAGAGAACAGCUUUCGCCUGUUCCUGAUUUCCUUUUUCGUUACAGGGGCCAUUGUUUGUUUUAAUGACAGGAAAAGAGAGCUGUCAGAAGACAUUUGCAUAGUGCAAAUAGGGUCACAAAUCAGGGGGAAUGUGUAGAUUAUUUGGUAGUGAGCGGGCAGUGAUUGGUGUGUCGCCGUAAGGAAAAAGUGCUUCCUGCAGUAUGGUGAAAAUCCGGGAUUUUCUCCACGUGCGGUGGAAGACUCGAGCAAAAUUUCAGGGGCAAAAGCGCCCUUGUUUCCUACUUGCGGCAGGGUUUGAAAUGAUCUCAUGCGAGCGUUGCUGUUUGUUUAUUUUCGUAGCUGCGUGCUUAAGAUGCAUUCUUUGAAAAUGUAGCUGAUACGUCUGUUUGUAUAGACUGCACUGCUGGUGAGUUAGAGCAGGGGUUUGUGUUCAUUUGGGAAAAGAGAAGGAAUCCUGGCCAUCAGAAAUGUUUACUAUAUCAGGAAAUGAAUUCACUACUUGAGGGUUCCAGUGGAUAUAAAACAAAAAUUAAAACAAGAGCCUUGUGUAAACCCACUUUGUAUUGUCUCCUCCAUAAACAGCCCCAUACGUGACAAAGCUCAGCGCGAGCGGGAGAGGUAGUUUUAUUGGGGCAUGUGGAGGGAAGUUAAUUGCCGUUGUUUUGAUUUUUUUUGCACAUGUUGGUAAGUCCGAAGCAAAAUCUGGUCUUCUUUCCUCUUCCCCCGGUUCCAAGGAGAGCUGAGCCUUCGCUGAGAAAUAACACUAGGCAAAAUGACUUCAAGCUGUCACCAUUACACAACCUAAACUUUAUUUCUUCAUUAAUGCAUUACAGAGCGAAAAAACAAUGAGAGCAUUCCUCUGGAAUGUGUGUUUACUGAGCACAAAACGAUAUGUUUACUGAAAUAGCAGUUGCUGCCGGGUUACCCAGUGGGAGAGAGCUUUCUCUUUCCACACCGGCCUGAUACCCCGGUGUCCCGGCGCGCCGGAGCUUCCCCCGCCGGCCCCGCUGGCCGGGGCAAGGUCGGCGUCUCCUGGGCCACGGGCUCGGAGGGACCGCGGCGGCCGCACCGUGCGACCGGGGCUCCGCUCGCGGCCCCGGGACGUCUGUGAGGACCUGCCAGAGCCCUCGAGGAAAAGGGAGAUUGGAGGCGUCCUUUCGCGGGAAAAAGCAUGAGUCGGAGGAGCGAGGUCUCGGCUGGCGAUGUGCAGCGCGGGUGGAGCAUGUGCAUGGGAGCGAGCGCCGCGUGGGGCGAUCCAUGGACCGGCCACCAGCCAGGAACCACCAAGAAGACUCCAGUUGAAGGGCAACCAACUCCUGGUGCCGCGGCCAAAGCCCGCAGGACGGGAAUGGUACCUCCCAGACCCCAUUCCCCAUCCUUAGCCCUCAAGAUUGGUGGUUUAACACAAGCCUUCGCGGCGAUGGUGGCAGAGGACUGGCACGGGGGCAUUGCUCCUGGAGACACCACGCCAGCAAGGACAACGCUGAGAGCCACCACUCAGGGAGGAGUAGCUGAAGGAACAAGGGUGGGAGGGCAGCGGAUGGCCUUUGCGGGCACAGUAAGGAAAACAUAAUUCCUGAUGGCCUAGAUGCGAUGGGUGUGCUACAAGCGCCCCAAAAGGGAAACAGCCCAGCCAGGGAAGAAAGGGCAGGGAGUCAGGUAGACAAAGCAAAAUAAAAUUAAAGAAGCCUUCUUCUCUGUCCCACAAAUCAAAGCAACGGUGCACGUGUGUGCAUGCAGGUGCGCACUCACACAUUUAUGUGUACAUACAGCUACACACCCAAUCUCAUAAAUUCCAAGGAAACAAAGGGUUUUCUCUUUUUUUCUCAUUAUUCCACUACAAUUCAGGCAGCAAAAACAAAAAUUAAGACGCCUUUGCUCAGUACAACUGCCAAGCAGACAUCAGGUUGGCUGCAACAUUAUUUAGUGUGGAUAUGGCUCUCCAGUGAUUCACAACCCGCCCAGUCAGAGCGGGGUUUAUCAGUGCCCCAACCAACAUAAACACAGCGGCGGUGUUUUCUGUUCGUUCCUUUUUCUUUAAAGAAAAAUAUACACACACACACCAAGGGAAAACAAAACCAGAGAGUGCUUUCUAACCUGGUACAGCAUAUUACACUAAUUAAUUAGGAUGCUGUUACUCAUGCAUCAUUCACAAUCCUGCCAAAACUGGGAACAAACAGUCCCUGCAAUCCGGGCAGGACUGUCUGAGCUGAACUUUGCAGAGCUCUCGAAUCCGAACAGCCCAAACAGGAAGCGCUCAUCCCCACCGCGAGCUCCCCGCGGCUCCCAAACGCUGCAGCACUGGCGGAGGAGCGGGCCGGGGCCGCUCGCGCGCUCGGAGAAGAGCUACCUGCCCCGCAAGAGGCAGCACGGUCCUUGCGCACGUGUUCGUGCAGCAGCGGCACCGUGGGAGGUGGGCCUAGUGGUGGGACACUGGUGGAGGGAGAAGGUCCUCUGCCACAGGGCUUCCAGCAGAGCAUAGGACUUUAUACCAAAGCAGAAUUCCCCAUGGGUAGAGAAAUGGGUUUGGGUUUAGCUCCAGUGCACCGCCCCGUGCAGGACAUGGGAGCCGGCGCGGGCAGUCCUGCUCUCCUGAUGAUUUUCAUGGCCGGGACGAAGAUCUGGAGUCGAUGGGCAGAAAGGCUCUGGCCACGUUCAUGGUGUUGCACACGUUGUUGGGGACGCCCAGGUUUGUAACACGGUAGACUUCUCACCCAAGUUCUGCAACGAGGAAACAAGCCUCUUCCCGCUUCAGGGGACCAGAGCUGUGGGGCAGGUUUGGCCCGUCUGCGCUGGGAGAGGUGUAUUUUUAUCUCCGAGAGCAUUAUGCCCCUGCUGAUGCCUUUGCUGAGAUGUGAUUCUUUUGCUGAUGUCAGGUCAGGAACAGCGAGCACAGAAAUAUUGUCACCCAAGUUGUGGUGCUGAAAGCUCCUUCUUGUCAGCGUGCUGAUACAAAUAACCAUAUAGAUACCCAAACAUGCUCCUGAAGUUUCUCGGGUUACGCAAGAGCCUUUCUGGCCUCCCAGCUGCUGGAAGAGUGUGGCGCUCUCGGCUUUCUCGUGUCUCUUUGAAGCAAAUCCUUGCCCCGUGGACUGGAAAAUGAUAUUAAGGGUAGGCAAGAGGCGAGGUGGCCUGCUGAGCACGAGCUUCCCGUAUGAAUUCCGGUAACUUUUCGAGCAAGGAUGUCUGUUUUGCUUUCCUUUGAAGUGGUGAGAUGCUGGUAGGGCGAUGAAGGUGAUUUGCAAGCCUGCACGCCCCAACAGCAGCACAAAGCUGGGGUGUCAAGGGCUGCUCUGACGCACGUCACCUCCGCGAAGCUGUGCGCAUCCUCAAGGCCACCGGGAGCUAUGUCCCUUCACGCAUGAUGGAGCACCAGCUCCUGGUCCCGGGCAGUCGCGGCUGUGUGGCGGCCGUGACCACUCGGGUGAACGCCUUUGAUGGAUGGACACGCUCCCGCUUCCCUUCUGCACGGACCAGAUAGCUCCAAGCCAAGGCCGUUACUCAGCGGCUCAUCAGGUGUGAAGCUGCGUCCUUUGCACCCGCUGCUGGCAGGGAGAUAACUGUUGGAAGGAAGCCGAAGCCAAAAGGGCUGUGGCGUUUGGCCAAGUCCGCUGUCAGUUUUCAAGCUGAUUCCGCUGUUCCUCCCAUGGAGCAAAACAACCAUAUUUUUCAUUUUGCAAAGGACAAAGCUCAACGGGCCCUUUUUCCCCCCCCCCCCCCUUUUGCUAAGAAUUUGUUGAAUGAUGUUACAUUAUUCUUCUUGCUGUCAGGAAGCAGACUGACUCCCCUCCCAAGUAGGAAAGCUUGGCUACCAAGCAGUCGGGCUGCAUGGGGGGUUUUGGCCACUUAGGAGGCUACUGUCUUAGAUAGUGGCCUAUGAAUGUCCUUCAAACGCUUGGCUUGGAGGGCCUUUGAGCAGAAGUCUGCUAGUACGUCUCUAAUACAGCAUCUGUUUUGCUUUAUCCUUGCUGCGUUCAACACGGGGCGAACAGUACUCCUUGGGACGCGCAAUGUGUCCCUCCCUCCCAAGGCCCCAAUGUCUUGCCCUGCUAGAUGUCUGCUAGAUGUCUUCCAAGAAAACAUCCAUGUCUUCUAGGAAAACAGCUCUGCUUGGCCUCCUGGCAAGCGUGGGAGCCGCGCAGGAGCAGACUCGCUAACAAGAUUGCUUUCUGCAAGAGCAUCCUGAGGUUUUCUAAUAACAGGAAGCGGCGGCAGCCGCUGCUCUGCCUGCCCUCGGGUCCGGCGGCGCGCUUGCCGGGUGUGGCUGCCUCCCGUUUCGAGGAACACCAGUGUCACGCGGGGCCCCGUGCUCAGCUCGGUCCCUGUGCCGCGCGCUGCUGCCUGAGCCCGGCACCUAGCUGCUUCCCUCCGCUCGGUCCCGUCCGGCCAGCCGAAGGGAUCCAAGGCAGCCGCUGCGCAGAGAAGGAAAUCCAGGGGCACGGCUGCAGCGGGGAAGGUGCCUUUCCAGGGAGGAACAGUCCCGAACUGGCGUCUGGAGAGAAACCGUGCUGCGGCGAUAGAAGUGAUCCCUGAAGACUCCGUGUUUGGUGAGCACCGUAGCACACCGCACGUGGGAACAGCGCGUGCGGCGCUCAGCCCCCUCUCCAGCGGCUUGCUCCUGGGCGCCGAGCUCCUUUGCUGCCAGGCCACGAUCCCACGCGUGGGAAACCCUCUGCGGCUCCUGUGUUCCCACCGGCUGCCAAGCUGGGAUGGCGUUCCUUUUUCCGUGGGCAACGCGAGUGACAGCAGUUACAGGUGUUUGGGGCUGCUCUGAGAGAAGCUCUUGCUGACACACAGGAGACAAGUCACGUUGCUUCUCAAACCCCGCGAGGAGAGAGAGGCCGCGGACCGAAGGCCUGGUUUAUUCCAGGAACAUCUCGUUCCCCAGGAAAAACACCUCCUUCUCAACGGAGCUUCAGGGUCCUGGGAGGACCUUAUGUGCCGCAAGCUUUAAAAGGGAGCGCGAGCCUUCCUGGGAGUUCCCGGGCGGAGGAGAAAGGGAGGCGUUGGUGGGUUUUUGUCCCCGUGUCACCCGUGCUGGGAUGCCAGUUUCUGCAAAUGGCAGGGUGAUACUCGCGUCUUCUGCAAAUGCUGUUACCUGGGGGCAUCGCCUGUUCCCUGGAGCCUCUCGCCUGUGUUUUCCAGCCAGCACAGCUCAAGCUCAAGGCACCUGCAGUAGGAAACCUGGCACCAGGCUGGCUCAGAGGGACCGGAGUACCGGGGCCGGAGCUCCUGCUAACCCUGCACCCUUGAGAUAUUUCUGACAGCUAAAUAUAUAGCUAUCUACAGCUAUAAAUUAAACAGGGAUUAGGAACUGUUCACGUGGGGUGCAGUACCUGGGGUCUGCCGGCCGUUUGCAGCCCCGUUCAGCAGCUCACUCUAAAAAUUACUGCUUAAAUACGUCAUAGCUUAAAUACAUCAACUCAAAUGCACAUUUACAUCAGUAUAAAUCUACCGCUGAAGACUUGGUGAAAAGGGCACCCCUCUUCCUUUAUCCUGAUGCUUUUUGUGGAAGUAUCACCAUGUUUCUAGUUGGUUAGGGCACAGUCUAGAAGGGAAUAAGCCUUUAUGUGCUUCAUUAUUUUCAGAUAAAAAAGAAAAUCUCUUAGGGAUGUUUGAAAACAGAAAGGUUUUGAUAAUGUCUAAAACCAAAUGACAUGAAUUUUGAUAAUUUGUCAGCACUUGCAACUAGAAAUGCUAAUUCUGAUUUUUGGGAGCCGUUACUCGAUAUACACCUCUAAAGCAAAUGAAGUAAGUAUUCCUUUACAUGUAGUUACUCUGUUCAUUUCCUAUAUAAUGCCACAAAAUAGGGCCUAGAUAGACCCGCAUUUGAUCUUGUAGCUUCUGCUACAAGCGUUUUUACGUUUCCUUACUUGCCAGCGAAAGCUUCAACCUUAUCAGUGACGUUUCAUAUCAUCAGCCUCGAAGACCCAGAAACAUUGACGCAAGUGCCUAUGCAUUCAGAGCUGCAAGCAGCAUUCGGUGAGCUAAAAUACUUCUUUAUGAUAGUCUUAAAACCAAAAUUACCUGGCCUAGUAUGUGCUGGAAUUUAUGGUAGCGCAUUAAAGCUACGACAAACAACCUCUGACAAAUAAUUUGGCCGUAACUCUCGAGAACCCGCUGUGGCAAUGCAGUGGAAGUGGCAAGGGAUGCUGUUCAGCGGUGUGCGUUGCUUUUCAGUGCCAGACUUCGGAUUUUGAUUUCGACAGCCAGAAUGGUCUUAACCUACUUUAUCCAUUCUCUCUGAAAAAAAAAAGCUGUUGUUUUUUCCAGAAACUCUCUUGAUUUUAUAAAAUGUUUGAAACUUGAGAAGAGACUGGCUGUGCUUUGUCUCCAUGAGAACUGCUUCGUCCUGAUAGAUUUAGUAGAGCAUGUGUCUGUGCUCCAUGAAUCUUCCCCUAAGAAACUGCCGAAUGUAUUGUUUCCAAAUACUAAUUCUCUCAACUUCUUCAAAUCCCUUGGCACUUAUUAUAUUCAUUCCUCGCAAGCAGUAGUGAAAACAAAUGUUCUUUGUGUAAACAGACUUUGACAGAAUGUGGGAACCUAAAUAAAUAUGGUUAUAAUAUGAUAUAAAAAUCAACUUCAAAUUUGAAGGAAACGUAAAUUGCACAUGUAGAGUUCAUUCAAUGUCAAAAACCCAAACAUAUUCUGAAAGGUGUUAAAACGGGUAAAUCUCAACUGCAAUAAUACUCUGAAGCUUAUGAUAACUGCAUCACAUGUUUGAAGGCAGUAGAACUGCAUAAAUAUGCAAUGUUAAAUAAAACAGUUUCUCCAAAAUGUCCUUUCACAUAAAACACGAUCUCCUAUCUGUUGUUUCCCUCCAAGAAAAAUGAUGGUGCUGCCGGCACUGUUUCUCGCAGCCUGCCAGAGACGUGGGGUGUAGCUGUCCGUUCGAGUGGGCAAUGACGUCGUCGGACUGAUGGCAAUCAAGGAUGUUUUGAAAUAUUUAUGUGGCUUAGUUAAGUUCGAAGAAAGUACUUACUCCAGAAAACGCAACUGGCCACAAAGUGUUUCUGUGAGAUUGGAUACCUUGGGUGGUUUUCGGAGGGGGACAAGGCCAAAGGCCAAAAGAGCAAAACCACCCAAAAAGUGUAAUAAUUACCCUGCGGGGCAACGGCUGUAUGAAAUGGAACUUAUGAAUAAAGACGAGGAAAACCCAUUAAGUAAUAUUAUUGACAUGUGCCUGACAUCACUGAUAGCCAACCAGAGGUCUGCACUUGCACUCCAGAUUUCUGAAAUCAUUUCUUAAUGGAGCAAGAGUUUUUAAUUCAUAAUGUCUUUAUACAGAUGCUCGAGCGUGCAGGUUUGCCAGCCAUUCAUAUUUCCAGCUUGCGCGAUGCUAAUAAAUCCAAGAUUUAGCCGAAGCACAGUAGUAUUCCUCUGUUAUAUUAGUAUGUGAAUAAGUUUCACCAUCGUGCAAUAACAGGAAAUUGCCAUAUAUCAGCAUUUCUUAAGCACCUGUCCCCGACGGUGCCAAGCCACUCGCAGAAUUACAGGGGGAAGAAAUGAGAGAGACCAUUUUCCAUGCUAGGUGCAUUGCUACAGUGACAAAUACACCUUUCGAUUACAUAGUGCAAACAGACUUCGGUGCCAAUUCCAGAGGCGAAAUAAAGGCAAACAGGCUUCAGACGAUGCUGCAAGCCUGAAAAAUGUGUCUGGACCACAUAAGAAAGAAAGAAAGAGAGGAUUUGUAGCUCUGAGGUUUUUGAGUUGUAGGGCCUGGACUGCCGCUCUACUUCCAUGGUUUAAUAGCAAAGUGGUCUUAAAGAGAAGGAAAAUCGGAGCUGACAGAGGGUCACUUGAACAACAAAAUUGCUGAACAAAAGCUUGAUACCCAGUUAGCGGCAGGCAAGGCAGUAGUCGCAAAGCCAGGCAGUACCUCCCCUCCCUGAGCCCGUGCCUUUCCCCUGCACCCGCAUCGCCGCAUGGACACCCUUGCCAUCAGGUUGGAUGUGAAGGUGACACUUCUCUCGAGGAAGGUGCAUCAGCAAGGCACGCUCCCUGCCGCCUCGGCUUAGGGAGAAAAAGGGCUCCUCUCUUUUUUUAAGGUAUGGUGAGGUGUGAAGAUACCAGUUUCUCUAGAGAGCAGAACAUUUUGUUUAUUCAUUUGUGGGGAGGUAGCAGCUCCUCAUGAACUGGGCCCCAGGCUGACAGGUCCUGCGCACCUAGGAGGUCUUGGAACCGUAUCACGACCCACUCCAAAAUGCAGAUAUUAAACACAGCUAGAAGCCG